rnacentral:rRNA from 1 species
UACAGAGGUCUCGAGCGUUUGUUCGGAUUCAUUGGGCGUAAAGGGCGCGUAGGCGGCGGGGUAAGUCUGGUGUGAAAUCUAGGAGCUCAACUCCUAAACUGCACUGGAUACUGCUCUGCUAGAGGACUGGAGAGGAGACUGGAAUUCACGGUGUAGCAGUGAAAUGCGUAGAUAUCGUGAGGAAGACCAGUGGCGAAGGCGGGUCUCUGGACAGUUCCUGACGCUGAGGCGCGAAGGCCAGGGGAGCAAAGCGGG